rnacentral:rRNA from 1 species
GAUGAACGCUGGCGGCGUGCCUAAUACAUGCAAGUCGAGCGAACAGACGAGGAGCUUGCUCCUCUGACGUUAGCGGCGGACGGGUGAGUAACACGUGGAUAACCUACCUAUAAGACUGGGAUAACUUCGGGAAACCGGAGCUAAUACCGGAUAAUAUAUUGAACCGCAUGGUUCAAUAGUGAAAGACGGUUUUGCUGUCACUUAUAGAUGGAUCAGCGCCGCAUUAGCUAGUUGGUAAGGUAACGGCUUACCAAGGCAACGAUGCGUAGCCGACCUGAGAGGGUGAUCGGCCACACUGGAACUGAGACACGGUCCAGACUCCUACGGGAGGCAGCAGUAGGGAAUCUUCCGCAAUGGGCGAAAGCCUGACGGAGCAACGCCGCGUGAGUGAUGAAGGUCUUCGGAUCGUAAAACUCUGUUAUUAGGGAAGAACAAAUGUGUAAGUAACUAUGCACGUCUUGACGGUACCUAAUCAGAAAGCCACGGCUAACUACGU